ACAAAAACUGAAAUAUUCAGCAGAGAUCAGCUUACAGAUCAGAAACAUUUCCUCCAACAUGCUGUCACUGGACUCUGCUGCAGUUUCUCUACUGAUGCUCACUCUCCUAACAGGCGUCAGCUGUCAACAACUCACCCCAGACAAGAAAGAAGAGUCCAGUUUAGAAGGCAGCACUGUUACUCUGUCCUACACUUACAAAGUGUCAACUAAUGAUUAUUUCUUUUGGUAUCGACAAUAUCCAGGAAAAGCACCAGAGUUCCUGAUCUCUCACACAGGAACAGGAGCUAUACUGUCAGAUCCAGUCUCUGGCCUAAGUUUUCAUGUGAGUGACGAUAAAAAGGGAAUGGAUCUUCAGAUCUCCUCUGCUGCAGUGUCUGACUCUGCUGUGUACUACUGUGCUCUGAGGCCCACAGUGACAGGAAACAGCAAAACUCUGUACAAAAACCUUUGGAGCAAAGACAACAGAAUACUCCACAACGUCCACUAGAGGGAGACACA